rnacentral:tRNA from 1 species
GUUGUGGCUCAGAGGCAGAGCACUUGCCUAGCAUGUGUGAGGCCCUGGGUUCAAUCCUCAGCACCACA